rnacentral:rRNA from 1 species
AACGAACGCUGGCGGCAUGCCUAACACAUGCAAGUCGAACGAGACCUUCGGGUCUAGUGGCGCACGGGUGCGUAACGCGUGGGAACCUGCCCUUAGGUUCGGAAUAACUCCCCGAAAGGGGUGCUAAUACCGGAUAAUGUCUUCGGACCAAAGAUUUAUCGCCUUUGGAUGGGCCCGCGUUGGAUUAGCUAGUUGGUAGGGUAAAAGCCUACCAAGGCGACGAUCCAUAGCUGGUCUGAGAGGAUGAUCAGCCACACUGGGACUGAGACACGGCCCAGACUCCUACGGGAGGGAGCAGUGGGGGAUAUUUGGAAAUGGGGGAAAGCCUGAUCCAGCAAUGCCGCGUGAGUGAUGAAGGGCUUAGGGUUGUAAAGCUCUUUUACCCGGGAUGAUAAAGAAAGGACCGGGGGAAAAAGCCCCGGCCAAAUCCGGG